GUGCACAUGAUAUCCCAUGCAAAGAAACUUUUAACUAAAGGUAUUUUGAAUGUCAUGACAUGUGCAGAAGAGCACAAAUUUUCAUCUGUUGCCAUUCCAGCAGUGAGCUCUGGAAUAUUCAACUUUCCAGUCUCAAUUUGUGCUGAUGUUGUAGUCACCACAAUCAAAAGUACAUUAAACAUAAGAACCCCACAAGUCCUCCAUUUGAAAUACACCUGGUAAACAACGAUGAUCCAACCGUGAAGGAAAUGGAAAGGGCCUUCAAAGAGAUCCUUUUGGAGCCACUCUCUGAUGUCAGGAGGACAGGGCCAGAGGAUUCUCCAUCUACUCUGGAAAGGACAGAGCACCUUGAGAGAAACACAACCGGUCUAACAAAGGACACUGCAUCACAGGUCGCAUAUUUGUGGAAACAACAGGAAACGGAAGUUGUUGUUUCUGUGGUCCCAUCUCAGAUUAGAGGUA